CCUACGGGAGGCAGCAGUGAGGAAUAUUGGUCAAUGGACGAGAGUCUGAACCAGCCAAGUAGCGUGAAGGAUGACUGCCCUAUGGGUUGUAAACUUCUUUUAUAUGGGAAUAAAACGUUCCACGUGUGGGAUUUUGUAUGUACCAUAUGAAUAAGGAUCGGCUAACUCCGUGCCAGUAGCCGAGGGAAUACGGAGGAUCCGAGCGUUAUCCGGAUGUAUUGGGGUUAAAGGGAGCGUAGGUGGAUUGUUAAGUCAGUUGUGAAAGUUUGCGGCUCAACCGUAAAAUUGCAGUUGAAACUGGCAGUCGUGAGUACAGUAGAGGUGGGCGGAAUUCGUGGUGUAGCGGUGAAAUGCUUAGAUAUCACGAAGAACUCCGAUUGCGAAGGCAGUUCACUGGACUGCAACUGACACUGAGGCUCGAAAGUGUGGGUAUCAAACAGGAGUAGAUACCCCAGUAGUC
rnacentral:rRNA from 1 species